rnacentral:rRNA from 1 species
AUAUUUGACAAUGGGCGAAAGCCUGAUCCAGCCAUGGCGCGUGUGUGAAGAAGGUNUUNNGAUUGNANAGCACUGUAAGGUGGNNNNNAGGGGUUGAAGCUAAUACCUUCAAUCUUUGAUGUUACCAACAGAAUAAGCACCGCCACGCCCUGUGCCAGCAGCCGCGGUAAGACAGAGGGUGCAAGCGUUAAUCGGAAUUACUGGGCGUAAAGCGCGCGUAGGUGGUUCAGUACGAUGGAAGUGAAAUCCCCGGGCUUAACCUGGGAACUGCUUUCAUAACUGCUGAGCUAGAGUACGGUAGAGGGUAGUGGAAUUUCCUGUGUAGCGGUGAAAUGCGUAGAUAUAGGAAGGAACACCAGUGGCGAAGGCGACUACCUGGACUGAUACUGACACUGAGGUGCGAAAGCGUGGGGAGCAAACAGG